CAAAUGGCAAACAACAUUUGUGGGCCUUGCUCCACAGCUCGGGCAUGCUUGCGGUUUGGAACUAGGCACCCGGGACAUCAGCAGAUUGGCGUGUCCAGUGCCUCGCGUUUCGUCGGUUUUUCUGGCUGGGUACGCUGGGCGUGCAUUCAAUUAAAGUGAUUUGUUGCCGCCGUUUUUGACAUUCGAGACAUAAAUAGUGAGUCUGAUUCAUGGCGCAGUGCUGCUCCCCAACCAAACUUGGCCAACACACACACACACACACAGACACAGACAGCUGGAGCCGCUAAGCAUAUUUUGUGCUACAAAAUGCCGUCGGGAAAAAUUGCAAUGGCCACCGAAAAAUGUUGAAGCAGAGAGCGCCAGCAGAAUGAGAGCGCCGACGCUAAGCAAUGUGAGAAGAGCACGAACGUUGCUAUGGCAACCAGCAAUCACAGCGGCAGCCAUCUUGAAUGCGGGGGAGAGAGAAAGAGCGCGAGCGAGCGAGCAGCCAUGUAUCAGCCAUGCUGCCGUUGAGCUAACGGCAACCGGCACUCACCUGCAGCGACGGCAGUUGUAAAGUUCUGUGACGUUACGUGACUGACGUUGUUGGUGGAUGUGCGGCAAUUUUCGGCCUGGCCCUGGCCAACAGUUGCCAGUGUCGACCCGUUGAGCGAGUGCGCCUGCGUUCGCCGUCGCGUCGCAGUAGCAGAGUUAGCAGCAGCAGCAGCAGCAGCAGCGGCGUCGUGUACAUCGUUGUGGUAAAUUAUUUGCACAAUUGAAAUCAAUACGUUUGCUUACUUUACGCUCAGA